rnacentral:tRNA from 1 species
UCUUCGUUGGUGCAACGGUAACACACGUGUUUCUGUUUGAGUUCUGUAGAGUGGAAAUUGGACGCGAUAACUGGGUUCGACUCCCAGACGAAGAG